AAUUUUCUUCUUCUUUAGCCAUCGUUUCUUUCUCUCUUUCUGCUUUCUUCACAUUUUCUCUCUAAACAAACAUCGAAAUAGACCCGUCAGUCAAUCAGUAGAGCCAAAUCAGCUUCCAAUUAAAAUAAUUAAUUAAUUAAUAAUCGGCCCAGAUCGCCGGAGGCCGCCAUGGAUAUUCGCCGGAGAAUUAAAAUCCGGCAACCACCGCCGGCGGCCUUUCCUAGCUGAAUGAAUGCAAACGAAACGCCGCCGGUUCGAAACCAAACUGGGCAAAAACCCACAAUUCCGACAGAGCAGUCCGAGUUUUAUUUCACUUAUUUUCUUCAUUCAAACGAGUUGGAGAACAAUGGCGACCACCACUAACACCGCUACUGCAGCGGUGGACUCGGCAACAUCGGCAGACGAACUCACCGCCAAGGCCGUGCACAAACGAUAUGAAGGUCUUGUUAUGGUUAGAACGAAAGCGAUAAAGGGGAAAGGCGCGUGGUACUGGGCGCACUUGGAGCCCAUGUUGGUCCAGAACGCCGAAACCGGUCUUCCUAAAGCGGUCAAGCUCCGGUGUUCUUUAUGCGACGCCGUUUUUUCUGCUUCCAAUCCUUCUCGCACUGCCUCUGAGCAUCUAAAACGCGGGACGUGUCCGAAUUUCAACUCGCUUCCUAAGCCCAUUUCGUCUAUCUCUCCAUCUUCAAACGUAGCCUUAGCUUCACCGUCUAGUGUUGGCGGUGCUGCGGCGGUUUCAUCUUCUGUAGUACACAAUAAUCGAAAACGUUCUGCUGGUGCAAGUUCUGGGGUGGUGUCUGCUUCGUCGUAUCCUAUAACGGCUGUGGCUCCUGCUGCUUCUGCCAGUUCAUACCAACAAGUAAGUCCUCUUGCUAUCGUGGAUCCAUCCAGGUUCUCAGGCGAGCUAGCAGUGUUGCCUCAACAACCACAUUUGAUGCUUUCCGGCGGGAAAGAAGAUUUAGGUGCUUUAGCCAUGUUAGAAGACAGUGUAAAAAAAUUGAAAAGUCCUAAAACUUCACCUGGGCGGGCUUUAAGCAGGACUCAGAUUGACACUGCCCUUGAUUAUUUAGCUGAUUGGGUUUAUGAGUCCUGUGGGUCUGUCUCGUUUUCUGCUCUCGAGCACCCGAAAUUUCGGGCAUUCUUGAAUCAAGUUGGCUUGCCUGUCAUUUCAAGAAGAGAGUUUUGCGGUAGUAGACUUGAUGUUAGGUUUGAGGAAGCUAAGGCAGAGUCUGAGGCACGAAUUAGAGAUGCUAUGUUUUUUCAGAUUGCAUCGGAUGGCUGGAAAGUUAAGAGUUAUACAGGUUUUAGUGAGGUGAAUUUGGUGAAUUUGACAGUGAAUUUGCCUAAUGGCACUAGUUUGUAUCGGAGAGCUGUGUUUGUUAGUGGUUCAGUGCCUUCUAAGUAUGCAGAGGAGGUUUUAUGGGAAACCAUAUCAGGCAUUUGUGGAAAUGCUGUCCAACAGUGUGUAGGAAUAGUUGCAGACAGGUUUAAGGCUAAGGCGUUGAGGAAUUUAGAGAAUCAGAACCAUUGGAUGAUUAAUCUUUCUUGUCAGCUUCAAGGGUUCACUAGUUUGAUUAAGGACUUUAGUAAGGAGCUUCCGUUGUUCAAAACUGUCACUGAAAAUUGCUUCAAGCUUGCAACUUUUUUCAAUAACAAGACUCAAAUUCGAAAUAGUUUCCGUAAGUAUCAGUUACAGGAGUAUGGGCAUGCAGGACUAUUAAGAGUCCCUUUGCGCGACUAUGAGAAAUUGGAUUUUGGUCCUGUUUAUACUAUGCUAGAGGAUAUAUUGAGCUCAGCUCGAGCAUUGCCAAUGGUUUUGCUAGAUGAAUCGUAUAAGAUAGUAUCCAUGGAGGAUCCAACAGCUAGAGAAGUUGCUGAUAUGAUCAGAGAUGUGAGUUUUUGGAAUGAAUUGGAGGCAGUCCAUUCAUUAGUUAAGUUGAUUAAAGAAAUGGCUCAGGAGAUUGAAACAGAAAGGCCAUUAGUUGGGCAAUGCCUGCCAUUAUGGGAUGAUCUAAGAGCAAAAGUGAAGGAGUGGUGUUCAAAGUUUCACAUUGCAGAAGAAGCAGUAGAGAAAGUGAUUGAAAGACGGUUCAAGAAGAAUUAUCAUCCUGCUUGGGCUGCUGCAUACAUACUUGAUCCACUUUAUUUGCUAAGGGACACAAGUGGAAAGUACCUUCCUCCUUUCAAAUGCCUAACACCUGAGCAGGAAAAAGAUGUGGACAAGCUUAUAACAAGGCUUGUGUCCAGGGAGGAGGCACAUAUUGCAUUAAUGGAACUCAUGAAAUGGAGAACGGAAGGACUUGAUCAGGUGUAUGCAAGAGCUGUCCAGAUGAAGGAAAGAGAUCCCAUUACAGGAAAAAUGAGAAUAGCCAAUCCGCAAAGUAGUAGGCUUGUGUGGGAGACUCAUCUUACAGAGUUUAAAUCACUAGGGAAAGUUGCAGUUAGACUUAUUUUCCUUCAUGCUACUGCGUAUGGGUUUAAAUGCAAUUGGUCUUUAUUGAAAUGGGUGUGUGCUCAUGGGCAAUCAAGAGCAGCCAUGGACAAGGCACAAAAGUUAAUAUUCAUAGCAGCUCAUUCCAAGCUUGACAGACGGGAGUUUUCAAGCGAUGAAGAUAAGGAUGCAGAGCUUUUCGCAUUGGCAAACGAAGCAUUCGACAAAGAUAUUGUUGGACUAGAGAGGCCACCAUAAGAUGGUUGGUGGUAAGUAGAAUGGAGAAAUGGACUCUACAUGAUUAAAGAUUGGAAUGCUGCCAUAAGCAUCCAAGAAGAGAGCUUGACUUGAAAUAUUUGGGAGUGAAACGCCUUUUUGUAAGACAGCAGAGGUUACUGGAACAAGCCGGUAGGGUGAAUGGCAAGCCAGAUCGCGCGGCGUGGGUCAGCAACCUCGGAAGGACCUCAGAACUCACCUUUCUAGCUGGAGAAGCACUUUAUAACAGUUAAAUUAAUUUUCUUCAUCUCCCAAUAUCCAUAUUAUCCUGGCUUGGAAUGUGGAACCCCACCAUAUGAACAAGUGGAAGUCUUUUUCUAAACUUUGGUUCUCAUCAGGGUUAUUGGGUAAUGCUCCUCAUAAUUGCAAGACAGGUGUUUAUAGGACCCAAAGCAAAGGAAGAUUGUCGGCUUGAAGCAACAUUGAAGAUGCUUCAGAUUGAUUCUGCAAAAAAUUCUAUUUCUAACUUUUCUUUUUUCCUUUUUUGGUUGUAUAUAUGUAAUAUAUUUAGUUGUGCAAGUAUUAAUUGGAAUGUAUAAUUGAAUAGCAAAGUGCUUUAUCUUAACUUGGACGUUCUUUGAUUCCUUGUAAGAAGAUUUUGUUGCAUGAUUUUUACUUGUACAUCAUCAACCUUAUAUGUGGUGUAAAAACAUGGUUUCAAGAUUUCUAAUAA